AUCCGCCUGACAAGUCCCAAAUAGGACGAAACGCGCGUCCUGGAU
rnacentral:hammerhead_ribozyme from 1 species